GUGUGUAUAGCUCAGUGGCAGAGCACAUGCUUAGCAUACACAGGGUCCUGGGUUCAAUCCCCAGUACCUCCA
rnacentral:tRNA from 1 species